rnacentral:misc_RNA from 1 species
UCUCCGUUGGUGAACCAGCGGAGGGAUCAUUACAGAGUUGCAAAACUCCCAAACCAUUGUGAACGUUACCUAUCCCGUUGCUUCGGCGGGCGGCCCGGGCCCCGCGCCCGGCGCCCCCCGGCCCCCCGUGGGCGCCCGCCGGAGGUAAACCAAACCCUUGAAUUGCAUGGCCUCUCUGAGUCUUCUGUACUGAAUAAGUCAAAACUCUCAACAACGGAUCUCUUGGUUCUG